UCCAGCUGUCACGGGCACUGGACGGAUGGGGAAGACACAGCACGAGUGUAACCGGAAACUUUAAUGUGGACCGGUGGCGCAACAAGGAGCCAUGAUCACUUACGUGACUGGCUUGGGGCAAAGCUCACAGAGAGGCUGGAUUUCAUUAAUGCCUUAUUGAGCGCCUAUGCCGGGACUGUCACCCUAAUAAGGGUGCUUCACUGACUUGCACAAAGAUGUUUCCGGAGAGCUCCUCAAGGAGCGCAAAGAGGGAACGCGGAUCAGGCAAAGCUUAUCCUAUGCCAUGUUAGCAUGGUUCAGUGUGCUACCACACUGAUGCCAUCUGUCUCACACAGAGAAGCCCAGCCCCAAGCCUGCUACUCCUAAAUUCUCUUUGAACUCUGCCUCUCCCAAGAGUGCUUAGCU